rnacentral:lncRNA from 1 species
CAUAUGGGGUGGAGGGGUUUGGGGCCACCCCUGAAGCCCCCUCCUGGUGUCCCCCCCCAAUUUGCAGCGGAUUUCCUGGAGCCGGCGGUGGGGCAGAAAUGGGACCGGGUGCGGCUCACCUGCAGCCAGCCCUUCAGCAGGCAGGGGCAGUUCGGGCUCUCCUUCCUCCGCCUGCGCACCCCCAGUGACCCCCAGUCCAACCCACAGCCGGUACUGGUAGGAGCUGUCGGGGUGGGGGGGGUGCCAGGGGGCUCCUGGCAGCCCCCCAGCAUCGCCUCGUCCUGCAGGAGGGCGCCCACAGCCCCCAGCGCUGCAGCCCGGCCAUCUGCAGGAUGCUGUGCGCACAGACUGGAUCGGUCUCACGGCAGGAGGAGCAGCUCAGGAGCCGCCU